GCCCCUCACAUGCUGCUUUGCUGCUGCCCCGCAUUGCUGUUGCUGCCUUGUUGCAUCAACACCACGUGUCCUCAAGUCCCGAAUCAUCAAGAUGUCGAAUGAACCAAGAAUCGACUUUCCAUGCUUGACUCAACGGGUUCAGAAUACCAUAGUUGGGUGACUGACGUUGAGAACCACCUCACUUCUUUGGAGAUAUUACCUAUAAUCCGGCCACCAAACCCGGAUCUUGUUUUCGAGCCUACAACCACUAAGCAUGCUCCAACAGUCAUCCUGAUGCAACGACACAUGGAUAAAUCACUUCGUUUGGAGUACAUGUCGAUCAGAGAUGCAAGAGAAUUAUGGGUAGCGCUAGAAGAGCAUUUUGGCAAUGUCCAAGAUUCCCUCCUCCCUGAUUUGAAGGUCCAAUGGAGCAAUCUGCGUGUUGCGGA